rnacentral:rRNA from 1 species
AUUGAACGCUGGCGGAAUGCUUUACACAUGCAAGUCGAACGGCAGCACGGGGGCAACCCUGGUGGCGAGUGGCGAACGGGUGAGUAAUACAUCGGAACGUACCCUGUAGUGGGGGAUAACUAUCCGAAAGGAUAGCUAAUACCGCAUACGACCUGAGGGUGAAAGGGGGGGAUCGCAAGACCUCUCGCUAUAGGAGCGGCCGAUGUCCGAUUAGCUAGUUGGUGGGGUAAAGGCCUACCAAGGCGACGAUCGGUAGCUGGUCUGAGAGGAUGAUCAGCCACACUGGGACUGAGACACGGCCCAGACUCCUACGGGAGGCAGCAGUGGGGAAUUUUGGACAAUGGGGGCAACCCUGAUCCAGCCAUUCCGCGUGAGUGAAGAAGGCUUUCGGGUUGUAAAGCUCUUUCGGCAGGAACGAAACGGUCCUUACUAAUACUAGGGGCUAAUGACGGUACCUGAAGAAGAAGCACCGGCUAACUACGUGCCAGCCGCCGCGGUAA